UACGUAGGGCGCAAGCGUUGUCCGGAAUUAUUGGGCGUAAAGAGCUCGUAGGCGGCUUGUCACGUCGAUUGUGAAAGCCCGAGGCUUAACCUCGGGUCUGCAGUCGAUACGGGCUAGCUAGAGUGUGGUAGGGGAGAUCGGAAUUCCUGGUGUAGCGGUGAAAUGCGCAGAUAUCAGGAGGAACACCGGUGGCGAAAGGCGGAUCUCUGGGCCAUUACUGACGCUGAGGAGCGAAAGCGUGGGGGAGCGAACAGG
rnacentral:rRNA from 1 species